AUUGAACGCUGGCGGCAGGCCUAACACAUGCAAGUCGAGCGGGGACUUCGGUCCUAGCGGCGAACGGGUGAGUAAUGCUUGGGAAUCUGCCCAGUAGUGGGGGAUAACGUCCCGAAAGGGACGCUAAUACCGCAUACGUCCUACGGGAGAAAGAGGGGGAUCUUCGGACCUCUCGCUAUUGGAUGAGCCCAAGUCGGAUUAGCUAGUUGGUAGGGUAAUGGCCUACCAAGGCGACGAUCCGUAGCUGGUCUGAGAGGAUGAUCAGCCACACUGGAACUGAGACACGGUCCAGACGCCUACGGGAGGCAGCAGUGGGGAAUAUUGGUCAAUGGGCGAAAGCAUGAUCCAGCCAGGCCGCGUGUGUGAAGAAGGCCUUCGGGUUGUAAAGCACUUUAAGCGGGGAGGAAGGUUCGCGGCCUAAUACGUCGCGGAAUUGACGUUACCCGCAGAAUAAGCACCGGCUAACUCUGUG
rnacentral:rRNA from 1 species